CCCCAAUGGACCAUGGAUAGUUCAGUCGGUAGAGCAUGAGACUCUUAAUCUCAGAGUCAAGAGUUCGAGCCUCACAUUGGGCA